rnacentral:ncRNA from 1 species
CAUAAUGCAUUGAUGAAGACAGUAGGACUAGAAUAGUUUUUAGCGAGUCGGGCAUGGUGGGAGCCGAUAAAUGAUGUCUAGUUUGAAAAUCACUUCUGAGCAGAAGGCUGAAAAUGGAGUAUAUCCAUUAUUAGGUCGACCGUCUAGUCACGAUAUAGACUAAUUGAGAGUCCAGGAUUUUCCUGGGAACUUGGGUGGUAACGCGAUUUUCUCGUCCCUUGC